AGUGAACGCUGGCGGCAUGCCUAACACAUGCAAGUCGAACGGAAGCACAGUAAUAGCUGGCUCUUACGGGCGGCGCGUGGCGGACGGUUCCGGAAUACACCGAAUACUACUUUUUCGCGGGGGAUAAUGUAGGGAAACUUACGCAAAUACCACAUACGACGUACGGGGGAAAGCAGGCGAUCUUCUGGGUUUGCGCGGGGGAAUGAGCCGACGUAGGAUUAGCUAGUUGGCGGGGUAAAGGCCAUACAAGGCGACGCUCCGUAGCUGGUAUGAGCGGGUGAUUAGCGACCCUGGAACUGAGACACGGUACAGACUCCUACGGGAGGCAGCAGUGGGGAAUAUUAGACGAUGGGGGAAAGCCUGAUACAGCCAUACCGCGUGGGUGAAGAAGGAGUUCGGGUUGUAAAGCCAUUUUGUUGGGAAAGAAAAGCAGCAGGUUAAUCCGGCGCUGUUCUGACGGUACCCAAAGAAUAAGCACCGGCUAACUUCGUG
rnacentral:rRNA from 1 species